rnacentral:rRNA from 1 species
CCUACGGGUGGCAGCAGUGGGGAAUAUUGGACAAUGGGCGAAAGCCUGAUCCAGCCAUGCCGCGUGUGUGAAGAAGGCCUUCGGGUUGUAAAGCACUUUCAGUGGGGAAGAAAGCCUUGGGGCUAAUACCCUCGAGGAAGGACAUCACCCACAGAAGAAUCACCGGCUAACUCCGUGCCAGCAGCCGCGGUAAUACGGAGGGUGCGAGCGUUAAUCGGAAUUACUGGGCGUAAAGCGCGCGUAGGCGGUCUGAUAAGCCGGUUGUGAAAGCCCCGGGCUCAACCUGGGAACGGCAUCCGGAACUGUCAGGCUAGAGUGCAGGAGAGGAAGGUAGAAUUCCCGGUGUAGCAGUGAAAUGCGUAGAGAUCGGGAGGAAUACCAGUGGCGAAGGCGGCCUUCUGGACUGACACUGACGCUGAGGUGCGAAAGCGUGGGUAGCAAACAGGAUUAGAUACCCUUGUAGUC